GGGAGAUGGGCCUGGCUGCCGGAAACUAGAGAGAAGGAUCUUAAACUCAACUACCCACAUUAUUACCACAAGUGGUCUCUGCAGCAUCUAUAGAUAAGAACUGGACAGAACUGAAUGAUGCCUGCUGUUUUCUGAGGGCAUGUCUACUUGGGGACACUCACGAAAGAUUCCCAAUGAAACUAAAGACUGAGCAAAGAUGAGGUUGAAGUCAGUCCCUUCUGAUGAAAUUUCCCUGUCAACAGCCAGUAUGAAUAGAAGAAAUUUUCUCAUCUGACUGGAUUUUUUUUGAUGGAUUCCUUUCCUUGAGAUGGUGGAAGACGAAGACAGGAAACGUGCUCAAGGUCUAUAAAAAGCUCUAGGAAGGACUACUGAAUCCACAUGGGCUACUGUGGAACAAUGACUCUGUUGACUGCUUCCCUCCCACAUGAAGAGGUUACAUGCAGAAGUGCUUGUCCAAUGAUCCUGGAUUCUGGGGUGACGGGAUUAAAAUCCCUGACAAGAAGAAACUCAAUCUUUUACGCAGUCUGGGCUCUGAGGUAAAAGAUUCCUAAACAUAAGCAAGAGAUCCGCAUGCUGCUUGGCAUGGGUCAGCUCUA